rnacentral:tRNA from 1 species
ACCUAAAUAGUUUAAAAUAAAACGUUAGCUUGUGGCGCUUAAAAUGUAAAGUAUUACUUUAGGUA